GUGUGAAGCUGUCAGUGAUGCGAGCCACCGUUCUUCAGUAGCUCUGCUGGACUCUGAUCUCACCAUGUUCAUCAACUGUAAGCUGUCAGUGCUGAUGCUUGUGCUGAUUCUUGGUGGUCAAGUAUAUGCAGGAAAAAUCUUUGGUGGCAAUGAAGUUGUGCCACACAGCCGGCCAUACAUGGUGCUGUUGAGGAAAGUAAUGUCAGAUGGUAGUAUAGGCCACUGUGGAGGAUUUCUUCUGAGUGAGGACUUUGUGAUGACUGCAGCCCACUGCCAAGCCAAGUCUUACACAGUCUUACUGGGAGUUCACAAUGUGAACAACAAGAAUGAAAAAAUACAGCAAAUAGCUGUGGAACAAGCAUUUCCACAUAAAGAUUACAAUAAUUCUUCAUACAUUAAUGAUGUAAUGCUUCUUAAGAUGAGCUCCAAGGCUACUUUCAAUGACAACGUGAAGACCAUCACUCUUGCAUCUGGUGAUCAGGGUGCCCUUCCAAAAUCAUGCAGAAUCUCUGGCUGGGGACGAAAAGACAGGAACAUUGAUAACAUGUCUUCCAAACUCAGGGAAGUCGGUGUGACACUGAUUAACGAUGAGAAAUGUACGAAGGGAAACAUGUACUGCUCUGAGGGAGAGAACGGACCAGGGGAGGGAGACUCUGGUGGUCCUCUGGUCUGCGAAGACAAUAAGGCCUAUGGGGUGAUAUCCGCCACCUUCAGACCAUCUAAUGGUGGCCCUGAUGUGUAUAGGUACGCCAAGAUUCCUGACUACAGACGCUGGAUUGGUUCAACUACUAGAAAUGCUCUGAUGAAGGUCAAACGCAUGUGACACCUGGAUUUUACUGUUUGCAUUACAGAAGUAAAAACUGAGAUGCUAAUACCCACUUCUUCUAUAUUAAUAAGACUGUGGACACAAGUCUUGCUUUAGACAGAAUAAACCAAAUCACACUUAACUCUGAUGCUUAGAAAUAAUACAAACACAGUUUUUGUUUUCACAAAUUGAGGCAAAAUAUGUGAAUUUGAUUUGGUUAUUUUCAGUUUGCUCUUUCUUGUGCUAUUGUUUUCUCUCCUGCUGCAGGGGUUACAACCUGGCAACUACUUUUUUGACUGUAAACUUCUACAUAUUAUGAAUUCUACAGUGAAUCCACAAGCAGGUUCUUUGAGGCUGUGCUGUAACAAGUGUGGUUUAAAAUCUGAAACAUAAGUUGAUUCAUUGCUGUUUAAAAGCUGUAAUACCUGCCAAUAUGAGAUACUGUAUGCCAUUCUGCUGAAACAUAAACUCCAAUAAAGAGAAUAUUGCUUUGUGCAUUUUUUUUUAGAAGACAUCUGAUACAAACACAGAAUCCUCUACGUUUGUUUUGCACCAUAUCGUCAAAGAAUAAACUGUGUGUAUUCUCUCAG